AUCGACAAAAUGACACAAAAUUGUAGGAGAAAUAUGAUAUUCUGAAGCUGGCAAAAAGUGGACUUUGAAUGCAAUUCAUGCUGCUUGGAGAAGGCAUAAAAGUGACUUGAAGAAACUUUGUUACAAACCAAAAGUUACUGAUGAAAUCAUAAUGGCAAAAAGGCCAGGUCAUAUUCCGGAAUGUCAAUUUAAAGAGCUCCUCGAAUAUUGGAAGUCUGAGAAAUUCCAGAAAAUGUCUAAAACAAAUGCUGAGAAUCGGAAGAAGUUGUUGAAUCCGCACACAGUCGGCAAAAAAAGUUUCGCUUUAGUCCGCAAUAAAUUGG